AGAAUCAACGCUGGCGGCGUGCCUAACACAUGCAAGUCGCACGAGAAAGGGUAGCAAUACCUGAGUAAAGUGGCGCACGGGUGAGUAACACGUGAAUGAUCUACCUCCGAGUGGGGAAUAACUGAGAGAAAUCUUAGCUAAUACCGCAUAACACUUACGAGUCAAAGCAGCAAUGCGCUUGGAGAGGAGUUCGCGGCCGAUUAGUUAGUUGGCGGGGUAAUGGCCCACCAAGACGAUGAUCGGUAUCCGGCCUGAGAGGGCGCACGGACACACUGGAACUGAAACACGGUCCAGACUCCUACGGGAGGCAGCAGUGGGGAAUUUUGCGCAAUGGGGGAAACCCUGACGCAGCAACGCCGCGUGGAGGAUGAAAUAUCUUGGUAUGUAAACUCCUUUCGAUGGGGAAAAUUAUGACGGUACCAUAGAAGAAGCCCGCUAACUUCGCGCCAGCAGCCGC
rnacentral:rRNA from 1 species